ensembl:lncRNA
UUAAAACAAAAGCAAAAAAACAUAUAAAGUGGGGAGAAACCAAGCUUUAGCAAAUGUCAACACAUGCAAGGAGCUGCAGUCAUACAGUCGCUGGUAACAGAACAACUGGACAUUAAUAGCCAAUAUGAUGAAUUGCAGUAGAGGUGUGCUGAGAACUAUUUUCUCAUCAAUAGGGCAGCCACAUGCUCUCACUUUUAUUGACCAUCUAAACAAACACACAGGUUCAUGUGAUGCACUUAUUUUUUAUUGCGAGAGGUCGAUAUUUAUUUAUAUUUCUCAUAACAAAAAGAGGCAAUUCUACUUGUAUAAAUUGUCUAGCUUCAGGUUUCUGUAUCACUGCAGUUGUAUUGCAUAAAUUAAAUAGGAGUAUACAAAGAGUAAAACAGAAGAGAAGAGAAGAGAAGAGAAGAGAAGAGAAGAGAAGAGAAGAGAAGAGAAGAGAAGAGAAGAGAAGAGAAGAGAAGAGAAGAGAAGAGAAGAGAAGAGAAGAGAAGAGAAGAGAAGAGAAGAGAAGAGAAGAGAAGAGAAGAGAAGAGAAGAGAAGAGAAGAGAAGAGAAGAGAAGAGAAGAGAAGAGAAGAGAAGAGAAGAGAAGAGAAGAGAAGAGAAGAGAAGAGAAGAGAAGAGAAGAGAAGAGAAGAGAAGAGAAGAGAAGAGAAGAGAAGAGAAGAGAAGAGAAGAGAAGAGAAGAGAAGAGAAGAGAAGAGAAGAGAAGAGAAGAGAAGAGAAGAGAAGAGAAGAGAAGAGAAGAGAAGAGAAGAGAAGAGAAGAGAAGAGAAGAGAAGAGAAGAGAAGAGAAGAGAAGAGAAGAGAAGAGAAGAGAAGAGAAGAGAAGAGAAGAGAAGAGAAGAGAAGAGAAGAGAAGAGAAGAGAAGAGAAGAGAAGAGAAGAGAAGAGAAGAGAAGAGAAGAGAAGAGAAGAGAAGAGAAGAGAAGAGAAGAGAAGAGAAGAGAAGAGAAGAGAAGAGAAGAGAAGAGAAGAGAAGAGAAGAGAAGAGAAGAGAAGAGAAGAGAAGAGAAGAGAAGAGAAGAGAAGAGAAGAGAAGAGAAGAGAAGAGAAGAGAAGAGACUGACAUUCAUUUUGGUCUAUUCAUUAUGACAGACAUAAAUUGCCAGUGGCAAGAAUGUCCUCACAAGUCAGGGGUUCUGUCUUUAAAAACAUGAAAUAAACUGAGAGCAUGCCCACAAAAUCGAGCGUUAGAAGAAAGUCAUUACUAAGCCAU